CCCUUAGAUGUCCGGGGCCGCACGCGCGCUACACUGACAGGGCCAGCGAGUACAUCACCUUAACCGAGAGGUUUGGGUAAUCUUGUUAAACCCUGUCGUGCUGGGGAUAGAGCAUUGCAAUUAUUGCUCUUCAACGAGGAAUGCCUAGUAGGCACGAGUCAUCAGCUCGUGCCGAUUACGUCCCUGCCCUUUGUACACACCGCCCGUCGCUACUACCGAUUGAAUGGCUCAGUGAGGCCUUGGGAUUGGCUUAGGAGGGUUGGCAACGACCCCCCAGAGCCGAAAACUUGGUCAAACUCGGUCAUUUAGAGGAAGUAAAAGUCGUAACA
rnacentral:rRNA from 1 species